rnacentral:rRNA from 1 species
GAUGAACGCUGGCGGCGUGCCUAAUACAUGCAAGUCGAGCGAACAGACGAGGAGCUUGCUCCUCUGACGUUAGCGGCGGACGGGUGAGUAACACGUGGAUAACCUACCUAUAAGACUGGGAUAACUUCGGGAAACCGGAGCUAAUACCGGAUAAUAUAUUGAACCGCAUGGUUCAAUAGUGAAAGACGGUUUUGCUGUCACUUAUAGAUGGAUCCGCGCCGCAUUAGCUAGUUGGUAAGGUAACGGCUUACCAAGGCAACGAUGCGUAGCCGACCUGAGAGGCUGAUCGGCCACACUGGAACUGAGACACGGUCCAGACUCCUACGGGAGGCAGCAGUAGGGAAUCUUCCGCAAUGGGCGAAAGCCUGACGGAGCAACGCCGCGUGAGGGAUGAAGGUCUUCGGAUCGUAAAACUCUGUUAUUAGGGAAGAACAAAUGUGUAAGUAACUAUGCACGUCUUGACGGUACCUAAUCAGAAAGCCACGGCUAACUACGUG